AAAUGAACCAGUAGAUCUGGUUGAAGGAAAGGCAGGCACCACAGUGCUCCAGGAAAAAGUGGGAAGUGAUCCAAGCCGCAGGACAUGCAAGUGAAGAGCGGUGAAAGUUCAGGAGAGGGGGACAUCUCGGCAUGGGGCUCAUUGAAGGCUUUUAGAAGAGAAUACCUCCUCCAAGGAGCCUUCCCUGAUGCAUCUGUGGUCACCACUGCACAUUCCACUGAGCCUUGGGCAUCUCUCAUGGUGCCC
rnacentral:lncRNA from 1 species